CUACGGGGUGCCGCAGUGAGGAAUAUUGCACAAUGGGGGGAACCCUGAUGCAGCAACGCCGCGUGGAGGAUGACGCAUUUCGGUGUGUAAACUCCUUUUAUAUGUCAAGAAAAUGACGGUAGCAUAUGAAUAAGCACCGGCUAACUCCGUGCCAGCAGGCCGCGGUAAUACGGAGGGUGCAAGCGUUACUCGGAAUCACUGGGCGUAAAGGUCGCGUAGGCGGGUUGGAAAGUCAGGUGUGAAAUCCUACAGCUUAACUGUAGAACUGCACUUGAAACUUCUAAUCUAGAGUAUGGGAGGGGGAGAUGGAAUUAGUGGUGUAGGGGUAAUAUCCGUAGAUAUCACUAGGAAUACCUAAAGCGAAGGCGAUCUCCUGGAACAUUACUGACGCUAAGGCGUGAAAGCGUGGGGAGCAAACAGGAUUAGAUACCCGUGUAGUC
rnacentral:rRNA from 1 species